UCUUUUAAGUCAUCCACUCUGUUUUCUCUGCUUGGUGCCUUCGCUCCUAGUAAGUCUUCUCUGUUUUCUCUUUGUAUUCUUGCAUUUUGAUGGUAGUCUACUCUUGUGUUAGGCUUUCCCGCCCCUCUGUUUCUUUUUUUUUUCUUUGUUUGUGCUAUCUUCUCUCUUCUAUGGGUAGAGCCCAUCCACAAGUUGGUGUUUUUAUUAGGGGGGAUUAUUCUUAUCGAUCCAUUCUUCUUUCACUUUAUCCCUUAGUCCAUUGUUCUGUAGGGAUCACCCAAAUUAUGGAUAUUUUGGCUUUAGAUGAAGCUGUCCGUUCAAGUGACCUUAAGACCGAUUUAUCUUCUAGGGAUGAAUUUGUGGUUCAAGAGGUUGCUUUGUCAUCUCAACCUUUUAAGGCUUUUGAGAUAAUUAGUAGUCUUAAGGGAAAAGACGUGGUUAGGAUUUAGGAGAAAUUUCAAUUUCCCUCGUCUGUUAACCUUAGAAUACCUUCAAGGAUGAAUAGGGCGUUCUCUAUAAUCCUGACAAGAUUUGCUUAUAUGAGGCAAACUUUGCUAGUGGGUUGUGCUUUCCCGUCCAUCAGUUCAUCAAAGAGUGGUUGUUUUGUUUAAACAUUGCCCCUACCCAACUUGUCCCUAAUUCGUGGAGGAUAGUCAUAUGCUACAUGGUCUUGUGGCUCUUGGCUAACGAUGGUGAUAUCAUUAGAGUCAAUGAGUUUCUUUAUUUAUAUCAUUUGAUACUGUCCACACAUUCUAGUUACUGGGAGUUCAAGCCUUAGGAUGCAAAGUCUAGGUUGGUCUUUGAUUUUCCCUCUUCUCUCCAUGAAUGGAAGAAGAGAUUUUUCUUUAUCUCUGGUGAUGGUUGGGAGGCCACCCCAAAUGAAGAGUUGAAUGAUGCUUCUAGAUUGAUUCGUCAAUAGGGGGUGCCUAUGUCUGGUGCGUUUUCUUCUUCUUCUUCUUCUUUUAUGUAUUUUUAUUUUUUAUUUAUUUAUUUACCAGACUUAAAAUCAUCUUGUGUAUAUUGGGAGCCACUACAUGACCCCAUUUGAAGAAGUGGUAUUUAUGGGUGCCUGGAGAAGGUUAGGGAAUUUGUUGAUAGCGUGACUGAUUUUGACGAGCUGAUUUCUCCUAAUUCUCUUCAUCUGCACUUCCUCGAUCCUAAGAUCGUCUACACACAUGUUGAAACAUAUAAAGAUGAAUAAGAAGACAAGAAAGAGCUGGCUAAGAUGAAAGAGAAGAAGGACAAGUUUGUUCUUCAAGAGGAGGGAUUGCUUUCAAAGAGGCGUCAUCUUGUUGAGAAGAAGGAUGAGGUCGCUAAGAAGCUCGAGACGGUAUUGCCACCUUUUCUUUCUUCAUCCCAUCUUCCUCAUCCACACUUUCCCACAUCUUCUCUUGAGGGCCUUCCCUCUAGUGGUGGAUUGAAGAGGAAAGCAGUUGGGGACUUCUAGGUGGAUGCUGAGUUUGUAGUAGGCAAAGCUCAUGAGGUCGUCUCUAUUGACGAGCUAAAACCCCUAACAUCCGAACCCUCUAACGAGCUAAUGUCUUCCCACAUACACAAGUUAUGUAAGUGCCUAGGAGUCUUUGUACCUUUCUGGAAAGUACUUGGAUUAUGAAGAGAAGUAUGUCUUGGCUCAUCAAAGGUGGAGUUCGUCUCUUUUGAAAAUAUUUCUUUGACGGACCAAGUGACAAAGCUUAUUGUUGACUUGGCCAAGGCCCAAGAUCAUCUAUCUGUGCUGGAAAAUGACUUAAAGGUAAAGAAGGCCUUUUGUGCUCUCAAGGAUAAGCAACUAGAGGCCACUUUGGGCAAAAUAAAGGAAGCUAGGGUCCAGACUAUAGCAUAUUUCGAGAAAUUAGACGAGUAUGAUGACAAGCUAUGUGCUCUCUACAUGGAAGGUUUUGAUCUUGUCUGUACUCAUGUGAGGAAGCAUCAUCCUGAGGUUGAUUUGUCCACCUUGGACAUUGAAAAGGUGGAAAGAGAAGUUGUUACUGAACGGGCUGCAGCGGCAAAUGCAAAUGAUGUGAUUGAUGGAGAGAUUGAUGACCCUAUUGACCAUGCUCAAUCGUGACACCUUAUAUGAUAUGUGAGUGAGCCCUUAUGUUUUAGGGCUAUGUUAUAAACACUAGGUUUAACUCGUAUGUUUUGGGCAAAGAACAAUGCUUUAUUACUGCUCCUUUUUUUUUUACAUUGUGAGUGAACAAUGCUUUUAUUUGCAUCAUGUAUGAACCAUGCUUUCUUUAUGUCCUAUGUGCUAUUAUCAUAUAUUUGAUGA